GACGAACGCUGGCGGCGUGCUUAACACAUGCAAGUCGAGCGGAAAGGCCCUUCGGGGUACUCGAGCGGCGAACGGGUGAGUAACACGUGAGUAACCUGCCCCAGACUUUGGGAUAACCCUCGGAAACGGGGGCUAAUACCGGAUACGACACAGCUUCGCAUGGGGUCUGUGUGGAAAGUUUUUCGGUUUGGGAUGGGCUCGCGGCCUAUCAGCUUGUUGGUGGGGUGAUGGCCUACCAAGGCGACGACGGGUAGCCGGCCUGAGAGGGCGACCGGCCACACUGGGACUGAGACACGGCCCAGACUCCUACGGGAGGCAGCAGUGGGGAAUAUUGCACAAUGGGCGGAAGCCUGAUGCAGCGACGCCGCGUGAGGGAUGACGGCCUUCGGGUUGUAAACCUCUUUCAGCAGGGACGAAGCGUAAGAGACGGUACCUGCAGAAGAAGCGCCGGCCAACUACGUG
rnacentral:rRNA from 1 species